UACAGAGGGUGCGAGCGUUGUCCGGAAUCACUGGGCGUAAAGGGCGCGUAGGCGGCGCGGUAAGCGUGCGGUGAAAGCCCGGGGCUCAACCCCGGGUCGGCCGUGCGGACUGCCGGGCUGGAGCACUGUAGAGGCAGGUGGAAUUCCGGGUGUAGCGGUGGAAUGCGUAGAGAUCCGGAAGAACACCGGUGGCGAAGGCGGCCUGCUGGGCAGUUCCUGACGCUGAGGCACGAAGGCCAGGGGAGCAAACGGG
rnacentral:rRNA from 1 species